AACGAACGCUGGCGGCAGGCCUAACACAUGCAAGUCGAGCGCGCCCUUCGGGGUGAGCGGCGGUCGGGUGAGUAACGCGUGGGAACGUGCCCUUUUCUACGGAAUAGCCUCGGGAAACUGAGAGUAAUACCGUAUACGCCCUUUGGGGGAAAGAUUUAUCGGAAAAGGAUCGGCCCGCGUUGGAUUAGGUAGUUGGUGGGGUAAUGGCCUACCAAGCCGACGAUCCAUAGCUGGUUUGAGAGGAUGAUCAGCCACACUGGGACUGAGACACGGCCCAGACUCCUACGGGAGGCAGCAGUGGGGAAUCUUAGACAAUGGGGGCAACCCUGAUCUAGCCAUGCCGCGUGAGUGAUGAAGGCCUUAGGGUUGUAAAGCUCUUUCAGCUGGGAAGAUAAUGACGGUACCAGCAGAAGAAGCCCCGGCUAACUCCGUG
rnacentral:rRNA from 1 species